UACGUAGGGCGCAAGCGUUAUCCGGAAUUAUUGGGCGUAAAGAGCUCGUAGGCGGCCUGUCGCGUCUGCCGUGAAAGUCCGGGGCUCAACUCCGGAUCUGCGGUGGGUACGGGCAGACUAGAGUGAUGUAGGGGAGACUGGAAUUCCUGGUGUAGCGGUGAAAUGCGCAGAUAUCAGGAGGAACACCGAUGGCGAAGGCAGGUCUCUGGGCAUUAACUGACGCUGAGGAGCGAAAGCAUGGGGAGCGAACAGG
rnacentral:rRNA from 1 species